GAUGAACGCUGGCGGCGUGCUUAACACAUGCAAGUCGAACGGGAUCCCAGGGGUGCUUGCACUUUUUGGUGAGAGUGGCGAACGGGUGAGUAACACGUGAGUAACCUGUCCUUUUCUUUGGGAUAAGCAUUCGAAAGGGUGUUUAAUACCUUAUGUUCUGUCUGCCUCGCAUGGGGUGGGUGGGAAAGGCUUUGGCCGGAUUUGGGUGGGCUCGCGGUCUAUCAGCUUGUUGGUGGGGUGAUGGCUUACCAAGGCUUUGACGGGUAGCCGGCCUGAGAGGGUGGUCGGUCACAUUGGGACUGAGAUACGGCCCAGACUCCUGCGGGAGGCAGCAGUGGGGGAUAUUGCACAAUGGGCGAAAGCCUGAUGCAGCGACGCCGCGUGGGGGAUGAAGGCCUGCGGGUUGUAAACUUCUUUUGCUCUGAACAAGGCAUGCCAGUGGGUGUGUUGAGUGUAGGGGUUGAUGAGCGCCGGCUAACUACGUG
rnacentral:rRNA from 1 species